CGAACGGGUGGAGUAACAUAUCGGAACGUACCGGGUAGCGGGGGAGUAACUGAUCGAAAGAUCAGCUAAUACCGCAUACGUCUUGAGAGGGAAAGCAGGGGACCUUCGGGCCUUGCGCUAUCCGAGCGGCCGAUAUCUGAUUAGCUGGUUGGCGGGGUAAAGGCCCACCAAGGCGACGAUCAGUAGCGGGUCUGAGAGGAUGAUCCGCCACACUGGGACUGAGACACGGCCCAGACUCCUACGGGAGGCAGCAGC
rnacentral:rRNA from 1 species